UCAGUCCGACAUAAACUAAAAAAAUGAAGUUGACUGACAUGUAGUUUUUGAACCUGUGGAAGGCACGCUAGAUGCCAAAAUAUCGUUCA